UAGUCCACACCGUAAACGAUGAAUGCCAGACGUCGGGGGGCUUGCCCUUCGGUGUCACGCCUAACGGAUUAAGCAUUCCGCCUGGGGAGUACGGUCGCAAGACUGAAACUCAAAGGAAUUGACGGGGACCCGCACAAGCGGUGGAGCAUGUGGUUUAAUUCGAGGCAACGCGAAGAACCUUACCAGCCCUUGACAUACUGGUCGCGGAUUUCAGAGAUGAUUUCCUUCAGCUUGGCUGGACCAUGUACAGGUGCUGCACGGCUGUCGUCAGCUCGUGUCGUGAGAUGUUGGGUUAAGUCCCGCAACGAGCGCAACCCUCAUCCUUAGUUGCUAACAUUCAGUUGAGAACUCUAAGGAAACUGCCGGUGAUAAACCGGAGGAAGGUGGGGAUGACGUCAAGUCUUCAUGGCCCUUAUGGGGCUGGGGCUACACACGUGCUACAAUGGCGAUGACAAA
rnacentral:rRNA from 1 species